rnacentral:sRNA from 1 species
AAGCGCUCACGCAGCCACACGAAUCACGAUAAGAGCGCAAC